rnacentral:rRNA from 1 species
CAUUCAUGCCGCGUGUGUGAAGAAGGCCUUAUGGUUGUAAAGCACUUUAAGCGAGGAGGAGGCUACUUAGAUAAUACCUAGAGAUAGUGGACGUUACUCGCAGAAUAAGCACCGGAUAACUCUGUGCCAGCAGCCGCGGUAAUACAGAGGGUGCAAGCGUUAAUCGGAUUUACUGGGCGUAAAGCGCGCGUAGGCGGCUAAUUAAGUCAAAUGUGAAAUCCCCGAGCUUAACUUGGGAAUUGCAUUCGAUACUGGUUAGCUAGAGUGUGGGAGAGGAUGGUAGAAUUCCAGGUGUAGCGGUGAAAUGCGUAGAGAUCUGGAGGAAUACCGAUGGCGAAGGCAGCCAUCUGGCCUAACACUGACGCUGAGGUGCGAAAGCAUGGGGAGCAAACAGGAUUAGAUACCCUGGUAGUCCUUGCCGUAAACGAUGUCUACUAGCCGUUGGGGCCUUUGAGGCUUUAGUGGCGCAGCUAACGCGAUAAGUAGACCGCCUGGGGAGUACGGUCGCAAGACUAAAACUCAAAUGAAUUGACGGGGGCCCGCACAAGCGGUGGAGCAUGUGGUUUAAUUCGAUGCAACGCGAAGAACUUACCUGGCCUUGACAUAGUAAGAACUUCCAGAGAUGGAUUGGUGCCUUCGGGAAUU